GAUGAACGCUGGCGGCGUGCCUAAUACAUGCAAGUCGAGCGAACAGAUGAGGAGCUUGCUCCUCUGACGUUAGCGGCGGACGGGUGAGUAACACGUGGAUAACCUACCUAUAAGACUGGGAUAACUUCGGGAAACCGGAGCUAAUACCGGAUAAUAUAUUGAACCGCAUGGUUCAAUAGUGAAAGACGGUUUUGCUGUCACUUAUAGAUGGAUCCGCGCCGCAUUAGCUAGUUGGUAAGGUAACGGCUUACCAAGGCAACGAUGCGUAGCCGACCUGAGAGGGGGAUCGGCCACACUGGAACUGAGACACGGUCCAGACUCCGACGGGAGGCAGCAGUAGGGAAUCUUCCGCAAUGGGCGAAAGCCUGACGGAGCAACGCCGCGUGAGUGAUGAAGGUCUUCGGAUCGUAAAACUCUGUUAUUAGGGAAGAACAAAUGUGUAAGUAACUAUGCACGUCUUGACGGUACCUAAUCAGAAAGCCACGGCUAACUACGU
rnacentral:rRNA from 1 species